rnacentral:rRNA from 1 species
GUGGGGAAUCUUGCGCAAUGGGCGAAAGCCUGACGCAGCCAUGCCGCGUGAAUGAUGAAGGUCUUAGGAUUGUAAAAUUCUUUCACCGGGGACGAUAAUGACGGUACCCGGAGAAGAAGCCCCGGCUAACUUCGUGCCAGCAGCCGCGGUAAUACGAAGGGGGCUAGCGUUGCUCGGAAUUACUGGGCGUAAAGGGCGCGUAGGCGGACAGUUUAGUCAGAGGUGAAAGCCCAGGGCUCAACCUUGGAAUUGCCUUUGAUACUGGCUGUCUUGAGUACGGGAGAGGUGAGUGGAACUCCAAGUGUAGAGGUGAAAUUCGUAGAUAUUCGGAAGAACACCAGUGGCGAAGGCGACUCACUGGCCCGUUACUGACGCUGAGGCGCGAAAGCGUGGGGAGCAAACAGGAUUAGAUACCCUGGUAGUCC